AGUUGGCCCCUCCCAGUAACCUUUGACCCUUUGAACUCACGUCUUCUCCUCUCACCUGAAGGUGCACAUCGCCACUUUACGCAUCUCUACACCUCCUUGUGGUCACCGCUUCCGCUGAGAGACCAGACAUUGACUGCGACUCCUCGCUUUCGCACCCCUCGCUUGUCCUAAUCUAUGGGACCAUCAGGUGCGGCAUUUGCUACUCACGAUUCACAAUCCCCCAAAGGCGGGGAAUCACGACGUCGAUUGCGUAAUUCGUGAGGCGGACCCCUCAUGCCAGCGUUCUGACUUUGAGUUUCCUUAACUGCCCCCGGGCGUGUUCGCCACCUCGUACACCAAAUUAAGCUUCGUUGCGCUUCUUGGAAUGGUCCAGAACUGUAGGAGACUGUUGGGAUCUCUAUCCCGAAAGGGAAGCCCCUGUCUCACUGUCCACCACGUACCAACAGCAGUCGAGCACAGCACUCUACAACCCAAUUCAGGGCGUUGCUCGCGUUGGGAACUAGAAUCAACGGUCGUAAGUCAACCCGUGAGAUUCCACUGACGGCCACUGUUUGGCCUCCUUCCACCCCUACUGCAGUUUAGUAGUACGGGGAAUACUGGACCCGAUGUGUGCACGAUGUUACCUGUCUUGUUUCCCGACGCUCUGGCGUUCCAAAUCGGUUAGGGUGUUUAGACAAGAGUCAAGCCUAGCGUCAGACGUUGAGCUGACGCACUUCGACCUUAGCGAUCAUUAGCGCCUAGUGG
rnacentral:rRNA from 1 species